rnacentral:rRNA from 1 species
GAUGAACGCUAGCGGCAGGCUUAACACAUGCAAGUCGAGGGGCAGCACGGGUAGCAAUAUCUGGUGGCGACCGGCGCAAGGGUGCGUAACGCGUGAGCAACUUGCCCGUAUCAGGGGAAUAAUCCAGGGAAACUUGGUCUAAUACCCCAUAGUAAAUAUUAAAGUCAUAUCUAAUAUUUUAAAGCUUUGGUGGAUACGGAUUGGCUCGCGUGACAUUAGCUAGAUGGUAAGGUAACGGCUUACCAUGGCUACGAUGUCUAGGGGUUCUGAAAGGAGAAUACCCCACACUGGAACUGAGACACGGUCCAGGCUCCUACGGUGUGCAGCAGUGAGGAAGGUUGGACAAUGGAUGGAAAUCUGAUCCAGCCAUGCCGCGUGCAGGAAGACGGCCCUAUGGGUUGUAGACUUCUUUUAUAUGUGAGCAAUAAGGCCUACGUGUAGGUUGAUGAGAGUACCAUAUGAAUAAGCACCGGCUAACUCCGUGCCAGCCGCCGCCGUAACAC